rnacentral:lncRNA from 1 species
CUGCUGGUCCUGAACUCGACGAAGCCCCAAUUCACUUCGUCUUCGGCCUCUCCUUCUUGAUCUCACCAAUCUAAUGGCUUCCUAGGAUUUGGGUCUAUUCUUUAAAUUUUAGAGAGUAUAUUUUACCCAUAAAUUUGAUGGGUUUAUGGGUUAUGGGUAGGUUUUAGGAUUUGGGUUAAAAGAAUUGGUCAAUUGGGUAGUGG